rnacentral:pre_miRNA from 1 species
GUUGAGGGGAAUGCUGUCUGGUUCGAGACCAGGCCUCAUCUAUACAUACCAAGGAUUAUCCCGAUCCCGGACCGGAUCCCGGACCAGGCUUCAUUCCCCCCAAC